rnacentral:rRNA from 1 species
CCUACGGGUGGCUGCAGUGGGGAAUAUUGGACAAUGGGCGAAAGCCUGAUCCAGCCAUGCCGCGUGUGUGAAGAAGGCCUUCGGGUUGUAAAGCACUUUCAGUGGGGAAGAAAGCCUUGGGGCUAAUACCCUCGAGGAAGGACAUCACCCACAGAAGAAGCACCGGCUAACUCCGUGCCAGCAGCCGCGGUAAUACGGAGGGUGCGAGCGUUAAUCGGAAUUACUGGGCGUAAAGCGCGCGUAGGCGGUCUGAUAAGCCGGUUGUGAAAGCCCCGGGCUCAACCUGGGAACGGCAUCCGGAACUGUCAGGCUAGAGUGCAGGAGAGGAAGGUAGAAUUCCCGGUGUAGCGGUGAAAUGCGUAGAGAUCGGGAGGAAUACCAGUGGCGAAGGCGGCCUUCUGGACUGACACUGACGCUGAGGUGCGAAAGCGUGGGUAGCAAACAGGAUUAGAUACCCUUGAGUC